rnacentral:tRNA from 5 species
AGAUUCUUAGCUUAAUGGGAGAGCACCACAAGCGGCGGUCGGUGGUUCGAAUCCAUCCGUUUCUACAA